UGGAACAAGAUCGAUUAGCAAUAUUAAUAAACGCUAACAAGGAAACGCACCUGUUGGGAAUUCCACCCAUUUCUUCUGGAACUGGCGAAAAUCAAAAAAAUGCAAUCAGAGAUAUCUUAAAUUGCUUUAACCUUACAGACAAUAUACAAGCUGUAACAUUUGAUACUAGCAGAAUCAACGCUGGAAAAAAAAAUGGAGCUGUAUCUUUACUGGUAAAUGAAGUCUUUCAACGACCAGUUCUAUCUAUUGCAUGCCGACAUCAUGUCAAUGAGCUACACAUAACACAUUUCUGGAAAAAUUAUCAAAGUAGCAUUACUUCUGGACCAGAUAAUCUGCUGUUUAAAACUUUAAAAUCAGCAUGGAAUGAUCUUGAUGCAGACAACCAGGUUUUGAGAAGAUUGACUAUUCCAGAGGAAACAUGGCUUGGUCAUCAAAAGCAUGAAAGCAUAACGUUCUGCAGAAAUAUUAUCACCAGUGGGUCUCUAAAAAAGGAUGGGGCUACAAGGAAGGACUAC
rnacentral:lncRNA from 1 species